rnacentral:rRNA from 1 species
CCUACAUGAAGCUGGAGUUACUAGUAAUCGCAGAUCAGAAUGCUGCGGUGAAUGCGUUCCCGGGUCUUGUACACACCGCCCGUCACACCACGGGAGUUGGGGACGCCCGAAGCCGAUUAUCUAACCUGUUGGAAGAAGUCGUCGAAGGUGGAAUCAAUAACUGGGGUGAAGUCGUAACAAGGUAGCCGUAUCGGAAGGUGCGGCUGGAUCACCUCCUUUCUAAGGAGA